rnacentral:miRNA from 1 species
UGAUGAUGAUAACGAUCACGAUCGCGGUGAUGAGGAGAGAGAAAGUAUGAGGAAGGAGAAAUUUAUUACCAUUAUCUUCAUCAUCAUCAUCAUCAUCAUCAUCA